GGGGGUUUCUAGCCCAAUUCAGUGCUGGGAAGCAAGAGCUCACUCACUCUCCCAUCCCCCUUUCCCACUACCCACCCCUCCCCUCCUGCCAGCAAAUGGAGGCAGCACAUUUUCACUCCAAUUUCCACUUAAAGCUGCAGCUGCUGUCGCCGCCUGGGAACCCCUAUCUUUUUACAUGUUAUUGUGGAUCAGUUGCCCGCUGCUGCAAUAAAGAACUCUCAGUGGGUUGCCUGGAAUUUCUAACUCAGUGCCACAGAAAACCUGGUGGAUAAGGAAACAAGAGGCUGCGCUUCAGUGGUGGGUCUUACUCUGUCACCCAGGCUGGAGUGCAGUGGUAUGAAGAUGACUCACUACAGCCUCUACCUUCCAGGCUCAAGCAAUCCUCCUGCCUCAGCCUCCUGAAUAGCUGGGACUGCAGGUGUGCGCUACCACGUCUGCCUAAUUUAAUUUUUGGAGAGACAGCAUCUCACCAUUUGCCCAGGCUGGUCUCGAACUCCUGGGCUCAAGCAACCUUUCCGCCUUGGCCUCCCAAAGGGCUGGGAUUACAGGUGUGAGCCACAGUGACCAGCCAAGAGAUUUUCAGGGACAAUCAGUAGGGUCCACCAGAGCAGCCAAUGCAUUCUGUUCACUUUACCCUGACAUUGUCCUCUACCCCUAGCCCUCUGGUCUCACUUCCCAUGGGUUUCAGGGACCAGAGCACAGAGUCUCUCUGUGAGCAGCCCUCCUCCCUAUCCCUCAGGAAAAUCCUAUCUUGGUAGUUACUAAUAUCAAUAUCAAGUAUUAUACAGAGACUUGUUCUCUUCCAACUUGUAACAUUUAGAAUUGGUGAGAACAUGGUCACAGAUGGGUUCUUCAUUGAUUUAUAAUCAAAUUCUCUUAUUGUCAAGCAAAAAUGACUGUUUUCUGCUCAGUCUGUCAGUUGCUGCAGGGAAGUGAUAAGGAAAGGCUCUUCUGUGUCAGUCACCUAAGUGGUGGCUACGCAGUGCCCACCACCUGUUUAGACGAGGAAGAGAUGAGCACCUGUCUCAGGGUCCUCUGUCGAGAGGGUCCACUCUAGCUAUUUAAGCAGAAAAGGAAUUUAGGAAAUGGCACUGGGGAGGUCACAGACUCUCCAGAAGAGACAGCAAAUCAGGAUUCUUGAAGUCUGUGCAGCUGGGAAUAAUGUCGGAACGACACCAUGGAACCCACCCUAGAGACCACAGAUGUGUGCUGCCACACUCAACUAACUUUUAAAUUAUUUAAAAUUUUUUGUAGAGAUGAGGUCUUGCCAUGUUGCCCAGGCUGGUCUCAAACUCCUGGGAUCAAGAGAUCCCGCCUUGGCCUCCAAAGUGCCAGAAUCUCAGUCUCUUCUAACUCUAGAAUUCUAUGACCUCUAGGACCAGCAUGUGGAGACCUGGAAAAGAUAGAUUUAGAAGCUGGCAAAAGAGCCAACUCUCUGAUUUCCUCUUGCGUUCAGAUUUCAUCCAACCAUCCAUCCCCCAGGAGACGCUCAUCAGUCCUUGAAGAAUGCACCUCCUGAUUACAAUCAGAUAUUUUCCAAGUGCCAGCUGGAGAUUAACUGAUGGGAAGUCUCAGGUCAUAGAGGAUAUUGGGCCACAUCUGUCACUCCAUGGGGAAUUGUCAUUUCUGCUCAGUACUGAGGAGCUACGACCUGGGGACAGAAAAACCGGAGGAAUUGCAAAUUUAAAACACACACAGGGAGCCUAACUGGUGGUAUCUGAAUUAGAGCACAUUUUGUCCCUAUAGUCCAAGUUGGAGGCACUGAUGAGCAGCCCAAUUUUGUAAGGGUCUCAAAUAUUUACUUAAAGAAUAGUAUAGUAUAAAUACCUGCAUUAAAUCCAAUUGCUGUCACUAUUAAAAAUGUCAUACGAUUGUUUAUUUCUACUGCUUGCUCAGAAAGCAACCCAUGCUUGACAAAGGCCUGCUAUUUAUAAGAAGGUGCACAGAAAUGAACAGUAUUAAAUUUGGUGCCUGUUUAUUCCUCCAAGCUACCCAUACACCCUGCUUUACACUGAAAUGCUUUCUCCAUGUUUAUCCACAUUGUUUCUUUCCAAGUAAAACUUAUUACACAGAUUCCUCGGGGUAUUUUUUUUCUUUUCUUGAUUCUGGUUAAAUAAACUAUUGAUUUUGUUUUCAAGGUAACUUAAGGGGGAGUAAUACAGUUCUAAUUUGAUAAGUACAAUUGUAAUGCAUUCAAAGUAAACACACUUUAGG
rnacentral:lncRNA from 10 species